UGAGGAUGAGUCGCUUGAACACCAAGACUUUUUUACCAAUGUAAACGUGGAGGACAUCCAGGGAUUGGCCUAUGUGUCAGGUUAUAUUGUCAAGAAAAUGGCAGUCCCCGAUUGUGCUCCAUGUAAAGACGCUCUUCAUUCCCCAGACGUGACUCCUGCACACACAACUAUAAUGUUCCGUGAUGAUGGUAAACGUCUUGUUUACGCAUCUGAGAGUUUUAUUAACUUUGUUAACGGAACUAAUGAAGUUCUGUGUUUGUUUUUGAAAACAUGUGCGAACAAAAAUUCUUUGGAAGAUCAGUUUAAGGGUUAUUGUAUGUCGAAAGACACUUUUCAAAAUUUUUUCACUUGUUCCAGUCACAGUGCUCAGAUGUUGGAUGAGUUUUUCAAGGUUUCAAUUCCCUUUUUAAUCUUCAAAUAUAUUAAUGAAAUUAACAAAGAAUCGCAACAUGCUGCGACUCGCGCUUUGAAAAAACAUGUUUCAAAGAUCCAGAAGUUCACAAAUUAAUUUAAUUUUGUUGUUAUAUUAUUUAUAUAUUUUAUUAGAAUAUUGUUUUUGUUUGUUUUGUUGAGAAAAGAUUUUUUGUUUUUUAGAGCUUUUAUUUUUAUUUUGUUUUUGAAUUUGUAUUCGAAUUCAUUUUUUAGAGAAGGUUUUUUUUGUUAUGUUUUUAGAAUUGUUUUUUAUUUUUAUUUGUUUUUUCAGAAUCAAGUUUUAGUUUACCAUUAUUUGGGGUGUACGGGAAAUAUUGGAAAAGUACCAAAACUUCUAUUGGACGAUCACGUUUUAUAUUUUAAAACGGCUUCAAUAGAUAAAGGCUUUUUCUACAUAUUUCCAACUCUCACCUAUGACUCCAAGAAGUUAUCUGUUAAGAUAGCGGUCACACCCCGAUAAACUGUGUUGAUCCACAGGCUAAACUAGGUGAGGGGAUGUCUACUCAUUGCGAAUAAACACAAGGCAUCAACUUUUUGGCAAUUAUCCUCGUCUACCACAUCUGGGCCUUCAUAAAGCGCAAUUUGAAUCUAAUGUGAGACUGGAAGUGCUUUAUAAAACGGAAAAGUAAAGUGCUAGUUUUGUGGACUGUUAAAAUUAAGUUGUACAUGAGAAAAUUACUCAAUAUGUUUUACUUUAAAAUGUAUUUUGUAGUACUAUAAUUAAUAAAACCGUUUUUUUUAAA